GUAAGGGUAGCAGAGUCUGGAAAUGCAAAAGAUCUAAGACCUUUAGCCAGAGGUUCAAAUCCUCUCCCUUACU
rnacentral:tRNA from 1 species